rnacentral:tRNA from 1 species
GCGGGAAUAGCUCAGUGGUAGAGCAUCAGCUUCCCAAGCUGAGGGUCGCGGGUUCAAGUCCCGUUUCCCGCUCCA